rnacentral:rRNA from 1 species
ACGCUCGACACCUACGGGAGGCAGCAGUUGGGAAUAUUGGACAAUGGAGGAAACUCUGAUCCAGUGACGCCGCGUGAAGGAAGAAGGUCUUCGGAUUGUAAACUUAUUUUGUCAGGGAAGAAAAAAUGACUNUACCUGAAGAAAAAGCACCGGCUAACUACGUGCCACAGCCGCGGUAAUCUGAGCGGGCUGGCAAGGC